rnacentral:rRNA from 1 species
UUCCGGUUGAUCCCGCCGGACCUGACUGCUAUCGGAUUGAUACUAAGCCAUGCGAGUCUUUGCAGUAAUGCAAGGCAUACGGCUCAGUAACACGUAGUCAACUUACCCUAUGGACGAGGAUAAUCUCGGGAAACUGAGCAUAAUACUCGAUAGAUCAUAAUGCCUGGAAUGGUUUAUGGUUAAAAUGAUUCGUCGCCAUAGGAUGGGACUGCGGCCUAUCAGCUUGUUGGUGAGGUAAUGGCCCACCAAGGCGAUUACAGGUACGGGCUCUGAGAGGAGAAGCCCGGAGAUGGGUACUGAGACAAGGACCCAGGCCCUAUGGGGCGCAGCAGGCGAGAAAACUUUGCAAUGUGCGAAAGCACGACAAGGUUAAUCCGAGUGAUUUCUGCUAAAGAAAUCUUUUGCAAGUCAUAAAACCACUAGUGAAUAAGGGGUGGGCAAGUUCUGGUGUCAGCCGCCGCGGUAAAACCAGCACCUCAAGUGGUCAGGAUGAUUAUUGGGCCUAAAGCAUCCGUAGCCGGCUCUGUAAGUUUUCGGUUAAAUCUAUGCGCUCAACGUAUGGGCUGCCGAAAAUACUGUAGAGAUAGGGAGUGGGAGAGGUAGACGGUACUCGGUAGGAAGGGGUAAAAUCCUUUGAUCUAUCGAUGACCACCUGUGGCGAAGGCGGUCUACCAGAACACGUUCGACGGUGAGGGAUGAAAGCUGGGGGAGCAAACCGGAUUAGAUACCCGGGUAGUCCCAGCUGUAAACGAUGCAGACUCGAUGAUGCAUUGGCAUUUAGCCAGUGCAGUGUCGCAGGGAAGCCGUUAAGUCUGCCGCCUGGGAAGUACGUACGCAAGUAUGAAACUUAAAGGAAUUGGCGGGGGAGCACCACAAGGGGUGAAGCCUGCGGUUCAAUUGGAUUCAACGCCGGG